rnacentral:rRNA from 1 species
AGCAGCCGCGGUAAUUCCAGCUCCAAUAGCGUAUAUUAAAGUUGUUGCAGUUAAAAAGCUCGUAGUUGAAUUUCGGGGUUAGUAGGUUGGUCAUGCCUCUGGUAUGUACUGGUCUCACUGAUUCCUCCUUCCUGAUGAACCUUAAUGCCAUUAAUUUGGUGUUUUGGGGAAUUUGGACUGUUACUUUGAAAAAUUAGAGUGUUUAAAGCAAGCUAACGCUUGAAUACAUUAGCAUGGAAUAAUGAAAUAGGACGUUCGGUCCUAUUUUGUUGGUUUCUAGGAUUGACGUAAUGAUUAAUAGGGAUAGUUGGGGGCAUUAGUAUUCAAUUGGUCAGAGGUGAAAUUCUUGGAUUUAUUGAAGACUAACUACUGCGAAAGCAUUUGCCAAGGAUGUUUUCAUUAAUCAAGAACGAAAGUUAGGGGAUCGAAGACGAUCAGAUACCGUCGUAGUCUUAACCAUAAACCUAUGCCGACUAGGGAUCGGAUGAUGUAAUUUUUAAUGACUCAUUCGGCGCCUUAC